rnacentral:rRNA from 1 species
AUUGAACGCUGGCGGCAGGCCUAACACAUGCAAGUCGAACGAGUGGCGGACGGGUGAGUAAUGUCUGGGAAACUGCCUGAUGGAGGGGGAUAACUACUGGAAACGGUAGCUAAUACCGCAUACCAUCGAAUGUGCCCAGAUGGGAUUAGCUAGUUGGUGGGGUAAAGGCUCACCUAGGCGACGAGCCCUAGCUGGUCUGAGAGGAUGACCAGCCACACGUGAACUGAGACACGGUCCAGACUCCUAAGGGAGGCAGCAGUGGGGAAUAUUGCACUAUGGGCGAAAGCCUGCUGCAGCAAUGCCGAGUGGAUGAAGAAGUCCUUCGGGUUGUAAAGUACUUUCAGCGGGGAGGCGUUACCUGAAGAAGAAGCACCGGCUAACUCCGUGUGAGCAGCCGCGGUAAUUC